UCCGUGUGGAGGCCCUAGGGUCCUGCUCAGCAUAGCUCUCAGAGCCAAGUCACAAGGAGAGGACUGGGGGACUGCCUGGCACAGAGCAGUUGCUGAUCAACACAGCUGCAGCCAGGGCUGAGAAGAUGACAAGCAUUUCCUCUGUCAGGAGAGACAUCCAUGCCACUCCAGGGCCCUCCCCAUCCCAGGAAGGCCCCUCCAAGCACCCAGUCUCUAACACAGCCCACUUCCUCACAG
rnacentral:lncRNA from 1 species